AAAUUGAAGAGUUUGAUCAUGGCUCAGAUUGAACGCUGGCGGCAGGCCUAACACAUGCAAGUCGAACGGUAACAGGAAGCAGCUUGCUGCUUUGCUGACGAGUGGCGGACGGGUGAGUAAUGUCUGGGAAACUGCCUGAUGGAGGGGGAUAACUACUGGAAACGGUGGCUAAUACCGCAUAACGUCGCAAGACCAAAGAGGGGGACCUUCGGGCCUCUUGCCAUCAGAUGUGCCCAGAUGGGAUUAGCUAGUUGGUGAGGUAACGGCUCACCAAGGCGACGAUCCCUAGCUGGUCUGAGAGGAUGGCCAGCCACACUGGAACUGAGACACGGUCCAGACUCCUACGGGAGGCAGCAGUGGGGAAUAUUGCACAAUGGGCGCAAGCCUGAUGCAGCCAUGCCGCGUGUAUGAAGAAGGCCUUCGGGUUGUAAAGUACUUUCAGCGGGGAGGAAGGUGUUG
rnacentral:rRNA from 1 species